UCCAAGUUACCUUGGCAGUCUAUUUAGAGUUCUCAACUAAAUGGUAGCAACUAAAUAUGAGGGUUGCGUUCGUUCUAACACUUAAGUAUACGCUUCACAGCACGAACUGACGACGACCAUGCACCACCUGUGUCGGGAUAACCUCCGUUGAGUUUCCUCAACUUUGCCCUCCAUGUCAAACCUUGGUAAGGUUUUGCGCGUCGUAUCGAAUUAAACCACAUGCUCCACCGCUUGUGCGGGUCCCCGUCAAUUCCUUUGAGUUUUAGCCUUGCGACCGUAGUACCCAGGCGGAGCAUUUAAAGCGUUAACUGCGACACUAAGCAUAAUUGCCCAAUAUCUAAUGCUCAUCGUUUAGGGCAUGGACUAC
rnacentral:misc_RNA from 1 species